UACGUAGGGGGCUAGCGUUGUCCGGAAUCAUUGGGCGUAAAGAGCGUGUAGGCGGCUCGGUAAGUCCGCUGUGAAAGUCCAGGGCUCAACCCUGGAAUGCCAGUGGAAACUGUCGAGCUAGAGUCCGGAAGAGGCGAGUGGAAUUCCUGGUGUAGCGGUGAAAUGCGCAGAUAUCAGGAGGAACACCAAUGGCGAAGGCAGCUCGCUGGGACGGUACUGACGCUGAGGAGCGAAAGCAUGGGUAGCGAACAGG
rnacentral:rRNA from 1 species